UACAGAGGGUGCGAGCGUUAAUCGGAAUUACUGGGCGUAAAGCGUGCGUAGACGGUAAUGUAAGUCGGGUGUGAAAGCCCCGGGCUCAACCUGGGAAUUGCAUUCGAGACUGCAUUGCUAGGGUGCGGAAGAGGGAAGCGGAAUUUCCGGUGUAGCGGUGAAAUGCGUAGAUAUCGGAAGGAACACCAGUGGCGAAAGCGGCUUCCUGGUCCGACACCGACGUUCAGGCACGAAAGCGUGGGGAGCAAACAGG
rnacentral:rRNA from 1 species